rnacentral:rRNA from 1 species
UGGGGAAUAUUGCACAAUGGGCGAAAGCCUGAUGCAGCGACGCCGCGUGAGGGAUGACGGCCUUCGGGUUGUAAACCUCUUUCAGCAGGGAAGAAGCGAAAGUGACGGUACCUGCAGAAGAAGCGCCGGCUAACUACGUGCCAGCAGCCGCGGUAAUACGUAGGGCGCAAGCGUUGUCCGGAAUUAUUGGGCGUAAAGAGCUCGUAGGCGGUUAGUCGCGUCUGCUGUGAAAACUCGAGGCUCAACCUCGGGCUUGCAGUGGGUACGGGCUGACUAGAGUGCGGUAGGGGUGACUGGAAUUCCUGGUGUAGCGGUGGAAUGCGCAGAUAUCAGGAGGAACACCGAUGGCGAAGGCAGGUCACUGGGCCGCAACUGACGCUGAGGAGCGAAAGCAUGGGGAGCGAACAGGAUUAGAUAGCCCUGGUAGUCCAUGCCGUAAACGUUGGGCACUAGGUGUGGGGUCCAUUCCACGGAUU